UGUAGGUUAAGUGACUAAGCGUACACGGUGGAUGCCUGGCAGUCAGAGGCGAUGAAGGACGGCUAAUCUGCGAAAAGCGUCGGUAGGUGAUAGAACCGUUAUAACCGGCGAUGUCCGAAUGGGAAACCAGUGAUUCGUCACACUAUCGUUAACUGAAUACAAGGUUAACGAGGCGAACCGGGGAACUGAAACAUCUAAGUACCCCGAGGAAAAGGAAAUCAACCGAGAUUCCCCCAGUAGCGGCGAGCGAACGGGAGCAGCCAGAGUCUGAAUCAGCGUGUGUUAGUGGAACGGUCUGGAAAGUCCGACGGUACAGGGUGAUAGUCCGUACACCAAAAUGCACAGGUUGUGAACUCGAAGAGUAGGGCGGGACACGUGGUAUCCUGUCUGAAUAUGGGGGACACUCCAAGGCUAAAUACUCCUGACUGACCGAUAGUGAACAGUACCGUGAGGGAAAGGAAAGAACCCGGCAGGGGGAGUGAAAAAGAACUGAAACCGUGUCUACAAUGCAGUGGAGCACCUUCGGGUGUGACUGCGUACCUUUUGUAUAAUGGGUCAGCGACUUAUAUUCUGUAGCAGUUAACCGUAUAGGUGUGGCCAGGAAACCGAGUCUUAACUGGCGUUAAGUUGCAGGGUAUAGACCGAAAUCCGGAUAAUCAAGGCUGAGGUGUGAUGACGAGGCACUACGGUGCUGAGUAACAAAUGCCCUGCUUCCGGGGAAAAGCCUCUAAGCAUCAGGUAACAUUAAAUCGUACCCCAAACCGACACAGGUGGUCAGGUAGAGAAUACCAAGGCGCUUGAGAGAACUCGGGUGAAGGAACUAGGCAAAAUGGUGCCGUAACUUCGGGAGAAGGCACGCUGGUGUGUAGGUGAAGCCCCUGCGGGUGGAGCUGAGACCAGUCGAAGAUACCAGCUGGCUGCAACUGUUUAUUAAAAACACAGCACUGUGCAAACACGAAAGUGGACGUAUACGGUGUGACGCCUGCCCGGUGCCGGAAGGUUAAUUGAUGGGGUUAUCCGUAAGGAGAAGCUCUUGAUCGAAGCCCCGGUAAACGGCGGCCGUAACUAUAACGGUCCUAAGGUAGCGAAAUUCCUUGUCGGGUAAGUUCCGACCUGCACGAAUGGCGUAAUGAUGGCGGCUGUCUCCACCCGAGACUCAGUGAAAUUGAACUCGCUGUGAAGAUGCAGUGUACCGCGGCAAGACGGAAAGACCCGUGAACCUUUACUAUAGCUUGACACUGAACAUUGAGCCUUGAUGUGUAGGAUAGGUGGAGGCUUUGAAGCGUGGACGCCAGUCUGCGUGGAGCCAACCUUGAAAUACCACCCUUAAUGUUUGAUGUUCUAACGUUGGCCUUACCGGGGUUGCGGACAGUGUCUGGUGGGUAGUUUGACUGGGGCGGUCUCCUCCCAAAGCGUAACGGAGGAGCACGAAGGUUAGCUAAUCUGGUCGGACAUCAGGAGGUUAGUGCAAUGGCAUAAGCUAGCUUGACUGCGAGCGUGACGGCGCGAGCAGGUGCGAAGCAGGUCAUAGUGAUCCGGUGGUUCUGAAUGGAAGGGCCAUCGCUCAACGGAUAAAAGGUACUCCGGGAUAACAGGCUGAUACCGCCCAAGAGUUCAUAUCGACGGCGGUGUUUGGCACCUCGAUGUCGGCUCAUCACAUCCUGGGCUGAAGUGGUCCAAGGGUAUGGCUGUUCGCCAUUUAAAGUGGUACGCGAGCUGGGUUUAGAACGUCGUGAGACAGUUCGGUCCCUAUCUGCCGUGGGCGCUGGAGAAUUGAGGGGGCUGCUCCUAGUACGAGAGGACCGGAGUGGACGCAUCACUGGUGUUCGGGUUGUCAUGCCAAUGGCACUGCCCGGUAGCUAAAUGCGGAAGAGAUAAGUGCUGAAAGCAUCUAAGCACGAAACUUGCCCCGAGAUGAGUUCUCCUGAGACUUUAAGUCUCCUGAAGGAACGUUGAAGACGACGACGUUGAUAGGCCGGGUGUAAGCGCAGCGAUGCGUUGAGCUAACCGGUACUAAUGAACCGUGAGGCUUAACCUUACAACGCCGAAG
rnacentral:rRNA from 1 species